AUUGAACGCUGGCGGCAUGCCUUACACAUGCAAGUCGAACGGCAGCAUGAUCUAGCUUGCUAGAUUGAUGGCGAGUGGCGAACGGGUGAGGAAUACAUCGGAACGUGCCCUGUAGUGGGGGAUAACUAGUCGAAAGAUUAGCUAAUACCGCAUACGACCUGAGGGUGAAAGUGGGGGACCGCAAGGCCUCAUGCUAUAGGAGCGGCCGGUGUCUGAUUAGCUAGUUGGUGAGGUAAAGGCUCACCAAGGCGACGAUCAGUAGCUGGUCUGAGAGGACGAGCAGCCACACUGGGACUGAGACACGGCCCAGACUCAUACGGGAGGCAGCAGUGGGGAAUUUUGGACAAUGGGGGCAACCCUGAUCCAGCAAUGCCGCGUGUGUGAAGAAGGCCUUCGGGUUGUAAAGCACUUUUGUCCGGAAAGAAAUCGCACAUACUAAUAUUAGGUGUGGAUGACGGUACCGGAAGAAUAAGGCCGGCUAACUACGUGCCAGCCGCCGCGGUAAUAC
rnacentral:rRNA from 1 species